AUGGGAGAGAGACAGAGGGGAGAGGGAGAGAGACAGAGGGAAGAGGGAGAGAGAGAUUGGAAGAGGGAGAGAGACAGAGGAAGAGGGAGAGAGACAGAGGGGAGAGAGAGAGAGGCAGGGGAGAGAGAGAGAGACAGAGGAAGAGGGAGAGAGACAGAGGGGAGAGAGACAGAGGGGAGAGAGAGAGAGACAGAGGAAGAGGGAGAGAGACAGAGGGAAGAGGGAGAGAGAGAGAGGAAGAGGGAGAGAGACAGAGGAAGAGGGAGAGAGAGGGAAGAGAGAGAGAGGGGAGAGGGAGAGAGACAGAGGGAAGAGGGAGAGAGACAGAGGGAAGAGGGAGAGAGACAGAGGAAGAGGGAGAGAGAGAGAGGAAGAGGGAGAGAGACAGAGGAAGAGGGAGAGAGACAGAGGAAGAGGGAGAGAGACAGAGGGGAGAGGGAGAGAGACAGAGGAAGAGGGAGAGAGACAGAGGGGAGAGAGAGAGAGACAGAGGGGAGAGGGAGAGAGAGAGAGGGGAGAGGGAGAGAGACAGAGGGAAGAGAGAGAGAGACAGAGGAAGAGGGAGAGAGAGAGAGGGAAGAGGGAGAGAGACAGAGGGAGAGAGAGAGAGAGGGGAGAGGGAGAGAGACAGAGGGAAGAGGGAGAGAGACAGAGGGAGAGAGAGACAGAGGGAAGAGGGAGAGAGACAGAGGGAAGAGGGAGAGAGACAGAAGGAGAGAGAGACAGAGGGAAGAGGGAGAGAGACAGAGGGAAGAGGGAGAGAGACAGAGGGAAGAGGGAGAGAGAGAGGGAAGAGGGAGAGAGAGAGAGAGAGAGAGAGAGAGAGAGAGAGAGAGAGAGAGAGAGAGAGAGAGAGAGAGAGAGAGAGAGAGAGAGAGAGAGAGAGACAGAGGAAGAGGGAGAGAGACAGAGGGAAGAGGGAGAGAGAGAGAGAGAGAGAGAGAGAGAGAGAGAGAGAGAGAGAGAGAGAGAGAGAGAGAGAGAGAGAGAGAGAGAGAGAGAGAGAGAGAGAGACAGAGAGAGAGAGAGAGAGAGAGAGAGAGAAAGAGAGGGAGAGAGAGAGGGAAGAGGGAGAGAGAGAGAGAGAGAGAGAGAGAGAGAGAGAGAGAGAGAGAGAGAGAGAGAGAGAGAGAGAGAGAGAGAGAGAGGAAGAGGGAGCGAGACAGAAUAGAGAGGAAAAAAUAUAAAGAGAAUCAAAUCAUACACAAACAUGAACAGCGUGCCCAGGCCCUUUGCCUUCUACUGUCUGGCUCUUUCUCCCAGAUCCUCUCCACCAUAAGCAGAGAAGAAAGGCUGAACUGA
rnacentral:lncRNA from 1 species